UCCGGAAUUAUUGGGCGUAAAGGGUGCGUAGGUGGUUUAAUAAGUCAUUGGUGGGAAAACGGGGCUCAACUCCGUGGAAGCUAGUAAUACUAUUAGACUAGAGGACCGGAGAGGUUAACGGAAUGGCUCGUGUAGGGGUAAAAUCCGUAAAUACGAGUUGGAACACCAAAAGGCGAAGGCAGUUAACUAUUCGGUUCUUGACAUUGAGGCACGAAAGCGUGGGGAGCAAGACGG
rnacentral:rRNA from 1 species